rnacentral:rRNA from 1 species
UCGGGAAUUUUGGGCAAUGGGGGAAACCCUGACGCAGCGACGCCGCGUGUGGGAUGAAGGUCUUCGGAUUGUAAACCACUGUCGCGAGGGACGAAGCUCUGACGGUACCUCGAAAGGAAGCACCGGCUAACUCUGUGCCAGCAGCCGCGGUAAUACAGAGGGUGCGAGCGUUGUCCGGAAUCACUGGGCGUAAAGGGCGCGUAGGCGGCCCGGUAAGUAGGGGGUGAAAUCUCAUGGCUCAACUGUGAGGCUGCCUUCUAGACUGCCAGGCUUGAGCACAGUAGAGGCGAGUGGAAUUCCCGGUGUAGCGGUGGAAUGCGUAGAGAUCGGGAAGAACAUCGGUGGCGAAGGCGGCUCGCUGGGCUGUUGCUGACGCUGAGGCGCGAAAGCGUGGGGAGCAAACAGGAUUAGAUACCCAAGUAGUCCCUGAGCGGGCUGGCAAGGCGCAU